rnacentral:piRNA from 1 species
UCAGAUCUAAAUGAACAUGUCUGAAACGC